UACUGCUCAGUAACACGUGGUUAACCUGCCCUAAGGUGGAGCAUACUCCCGGGAAACUGGGGCUAAUCCUCCAUAGUGGAUGUAUCCUGGAAUGGUAUAUCCUCGAAAGAUCCGUCGCCUUAGGAUGGGACUGCGUCCGAUUAGGUUGUUGGCGGGGUAACGGCCCACCAAGCCAUUGAUCGGUACGGGUUGUGGGAGCAAGAUCCCGGAGAUGGAUUCUGAGACAUGAAUCCAGGCCCUACGGGGCGCAGCAGGCGCGCAAACUUUACAAUGCGAGCAAUCGUGAUAAGGAAACCCUGAGUGCCUGUCGAUGCAGGCUGUUCAUAUAUCUAAAUCAUAUGUGAAGAAAGGGCAGGGCAAGACCGGUGCCAGCCGCCGCGGUAAUACCGGCUGCUCGAGUGAUGGCCACUAUUACUGGGUUUAAAGCGUCCGUAGCUUGACUGUUAGGUCUCUUGGGAAAUCUUCGCGCUCAACGUGAAGGCGUCUAAGAGAUACCGGCAGUCUUGGAACUGGGAGAGGUAAACCGUACUUCGGGGGUAGGAGUGAAAUCUUGUAAUCCUCGAGGGACGACCUAUGGCGAAGGCAGUUUACCAGAACAGCUUCGACAGUGAGGGACGAAAGCUGGGGGAGCAAACGGGAUUAGAUACCCCGGUAGUCCCAGCCGUAAACAAUGUGCGUUAGGUGUGUCGGUAACCACGUGUUACUGACGCGCCGAAGAGAAAUCGUGAAACGCACCACCUGGGAAGUACGGUCGCAAGGCUGAAACUUAAAGGAAUUGGCGGGGGAGCACCACAACAGGUGGAGCCUGCGGUUUAAUUGGAUUCAACGCCGGG
rnacentral:rRNA from 1 species